rnacentral:rRNA from 1 species
AACGAACGCUGGCGGCAGGCUUAACACAUGCAAGUCGAGCGCCCCGCAAGGGGAGCGGCAGCCGGGUGAGUAACGCUUGGGAACAUACCCAACCCUACGGAAUAACCCAGGGAAACUUGGACUAAUACCGUAUACGCCCUUUUGGGGAAAGAUUUAUCGGGGAUGGAUUGGCCCGCGUUGGAUUAGCUAGUUGGUGGGGUAAAGGCCUACCAAGGCGACGAUCCAUAGCUGGUCUGAGAGGAUGAUCAGCCACAUUGGGACUGAGACACGGCCCAAACUCCUACGGGAGGCAGCAGUGGGGAAUAUUGGACAAUGGGCGCAAGCCUGAUCCAGCCAUGCCGCGUGAGUGAUGAAGGCCUUAGGGUUGUAAAGCUCUUUCACCGAUGAAGAUAAUGACGGUAGUCGGAGAAGAAGCCCCGGCUAACUUCGUG